AGGGACGACAUCGAAAGAUCAAUGUAAGAUAAAAAAAACUCAAUUCAAAUAGUUUGGGGGUAAGGGGGUUGAACUGCUGCAAGAUGUGGUUAUCCGACAUUGAUUUUUACAUAUAUCUAUAUGGGUCAAUCAAUUUUUUCCCAAAUUAAGUUAAGAGGGGGUAAGGGGGGGGGUCAGUGAAAAAACUAUGUGAAUUAAGUUUGUUUAUCCUUCAUUGAACUUUUGAUGUCGUCCCUUACUGAGCACAACUUCUCGUUUAAAUAAGUGUACAGAAAAUACAUUAAAAAUACUCUCUUAUUCUAAUAGAUUUUUUUCAAAUAAAAUGAAGAUAUAUGUAAAGUUGAUUGAAAUAGAGAUCCUAUGACUACUCUUGACAUACAAAGAUGAGAAAAUGCACUGUUUUACUUCCUGCUUUAAAGACAUUUAGGGAACCUAAAUGGUACAAAUGGUACACAUCUUUAAAAAUUUAAAAACAGUUGUUUAUGUUUAAAUCAAUUGUAAAGAAAGUAGAAUAAAUAAUGGAGACAAAGCUUGGGCACAGAAUCUUUAUUUAAUUAUUUGGUGUUAUUAAGUUUAAAAAUUAUCAGAUGACAGUGACAAUAUUUUCAAACAGAAAUGUUAGGACAAAAUGAACAAAUGGUAUAAAUAUGAAUAAAAUGUCAAUUUAAUAAUUUAAUAAGUAUAUAUUUUUCAACUAUGGAAUGCAAUACUAGUAAUAAAAUGUAAAUUUAUAUAAAAAAAAAACAUAAAA
rnacentral:lncRNA from 1 species